rnacentral:rRNA from 1 species
UGAGGAAUAUUGGUCAAUGGGCGAGAGCCUGAACCAGCCACGUCGCGUGAAGGAAGACUGACCUUACGGUUUGUAAACUUCUUUUGUAGAGGGGUAAUGGCAGAUACGUGUAUUUGCGUGAAAGUACUCUACGAAUAAGCAUCGGCUAACUCCGUGCCAGCAGCCGCGGUAAUACGGGGGAUGCGAGCGUUAUCCGGAAUUAUUGGGUUUAAAGGGUGCGCAGGUGGCUAAUCAGGUCAGUGGUGAAAAGCUAUGGCUCAACCAUGGUCUUGCCAUUGAAACCGUAUAGCUAGAGAGGAGACGAGGUAGGCGGAAUGUGUGGUGUAGCGAUGAAAUGCAUAGAUAUCACACGGAACUCCGAUUGCGAAGGCAGCUUACCAGGCUUUAUCUGACACUUAGGCACGACAGCGUGGGGAUCAAACAGG